GCGGGUGUGGCGGAAUUGGCAGACGCACUAGACUUAGGAUCUAGCGCCACGUGCGUGGGGGUUCAAGUCCCUCCACCCGCACCA
rnacentral:tRNA from 3 species